UGGGGAAUAUUGGACAAUGGGCGCAAGCCUGAUCCAGCCAUGCCGCGUGAGUGACGAAGGCCUUAGGGUUGUAAAGCUCUUUUGUCGGGGACGAUAAUGACGGUACCCGAAGAAUAAGCUCCGGCUAACUUCGUGCCAGCAGCCGCGGUAAUACGAAGGGAGCUAGCGUUGUUCGGAAUCACUGGGCGUAAAGCGCACGUAGGCGGAUUUGUAAGUCAGGGGUGAAAUCCCGGGGCUCAACCUCGGAACUGCCUCUGAUACUGCGAAUCUCGAGUCCGGAAGAGGUGGGUGGAAUUCCUAGUGUAGAGGUGAAAUUCGUAGAUAUUAGGAAGAACACCGGUGGCGAAGGCGGCCCACUGGUCCGGUACUGACGCUGAGGUGCGAAAGCGUGGGGAGCAAACAGGAUUAGAUACCCAGGUAGUCCCUGAGCGGGCUGGCAAGGCGCAU
rnacentral:rRNA from 1 species